GUAGGUGGCAAGCGUUGUCCGGAAUUAUUGGGCGUAAAGCGCGCGCAGGCGGUUCUUUAAGUCUGAUGUGAAAGCCCACGGGCUCAACCGUGGAGGGUCAUUGGAAACUGGAAAACUUGAGUACAGAAGAGGAAAGCGGAAUUCCACGUGUAGCGGUGAAAUGCGUAGAGAUGUGGAGGAACACCAGUGGCGAAGGCGGCUUUCUGGUCUGUAACUGACGCUGAGGCGCGAAAGCGUGGGGAGCAAACAGGAUUAGAUACCCUGGUAGUCCACGCCGUAAACGAUGAGUGCUAAGUGUUAGGGGGUUUCCGCCCCUUAGUGCUGCAGCUAACGCAUUAAGCACUCCGCCUGGGGAGUACGGCCGCAAAGGCUG
rnacentral:rRNA from 1 species